GGCCUUUACCUUCACUCUGCCCAGCACAGGCAUGACUUCACACAGCUUUCUUGCACAAUAUCCUCGCAGAGAGGAUAAAUACCAUACAACAGAUGAGUUACACAACUAUUUGCUGACAUGUUAUUUGCUCAAACCCAUGAAUAAAAGAAAUAAAAGUGAGGACAAUGCUGCUGCAUGAAGCUUACUGUGGAGCCCUGCUUGGGGCGGUUCUCAGCACCCAAGGUGGCAUAAGGACGGAUGUCAGGCUCUCUUUUGAUCCUCUGUACAUUCUGUAUGCUGGAGGCCUGGGCAAUGACUGCUGCUCACAGCGAUGAAACCAGGCACUUAAAGGAGAAUAUAAUUAAUAAGGGCAAUCUACUCUAAGCUGAGCUACUAUUUGGAAAAAAAAAAUCAACAAAAAAACAGCCAAAAACAACUAUUCAAGUAUUUUUAGAACAUGGAGGAAUUUUCCUGUUGCAUGGAGAUGAAUUUAAUACUACUGAAAUAUAGACAAACUUGAUUUAAUGUAUACACCAGGCAAAAAGAGGAAACUGAACUACUUGAGCUAAGGAGCUGGCAUUCAUGGUUCCUGUACAGCUGGGCACAUGGAACUUCAGCAAGAAGUUAAAAUGAUAGUGUUCUCAGCACUGAGAUCUGAACACAUGCUUUCUCUCUUCCCCAAGUACAUCCACCAGAAACAGUACAUAAAUAGUCUUCAUCUCAUGCAUUAAAAUAUAUCAAUGGUUUCACCACAUAGGUGUUGUCGACAAUGGUGAUGCUGCUUGCAGCUGAGGAGAAGCUCCAUGCACAUCCCUGCGUGCAUGACCCAAAUUCAUCAUACACCAGUGCUCUGAACACAGCAGAAGAUGCUUGGUGUUAAUGACAGGUGGCUCCAUCAAAGCAAGUAGAGGUUUUCAAGUGAGGUCAUGACACUAAAGCCAUUUCUAUUUUCUACAACAAAUUUUAAUUCUUAGAAAACAAAAUUGUUUUAUUCAACGUGGAAAACAUUACAUGGUCCUACCCAAAAAGAAUCCAUUCUAAAGCUUGUCAACUCCAAGAAUGCAGAACCAGCAAACACAUACAACCCAUUUGUGAGAAUGCUUCAAAUCCUGGAAACUGCUCCUCACAGCAAGAACCAAAUACACCGCUUCCCAGCAUAGGCUAAAACCCAAGAGAGCUGAGGAGUGCCCCUCCAGAGGGAAUGCAAACCACAGACAUACCAAAGGUAUUAGCAACAGUGCAAUACAACUAUGUCACUGGGAAGGACCAGAACUUCUUGAGUCUGCUGAAAGGUUUGAGUGUCAGCUUGUCAGUGCUGGAGCAUUUCCAUACUGUUGGAACACACCAAUGGGCAGCUGCUGGAAAGAGAAGGAUUUCAGUGAAAUUUGAGCAAGAAAUACCUGGGUCUUCCUUGUGGUUAAAACCAGCUUGCAAACACAAACAAGCCUUUCCUAAGGUACUCCUGAACGUAAACAUAUAAUGACAAAACACUACAGUAACUAGAAUUCCAAACAGCCCCCAGGUAAUGGAAAAUCAGCUUUUAUACUUCACUCAAAAGUUCUUAAGCCACAGGUCAGCCUACAUAAUGUAAGCAGAGAACAGUGAGUGCUUCAGUUCUCAGGGCACAUCCUGCUUCCCCAGGGUGUUACAGUCCCAGUGAGCUCCUGUGUGCACAGCCUGAAGGGCUGGGACUGCAUCCCUGCUCAGGACUGCAUCAUUAUGGGUGCAUACAGCAGGUAGCAGUCCUGCUGCAUCACUGUAAAAUUGGCAAGAACCUCCUUCUGGUCUCCUCAUAUCCUUAGGCUUACUCUCAGAACUGAUAUCAAACUUUCACACACACACAUAAAUAAAGCAAUGUCUUAGCAGAACAGGGGAUUACAACAUCAGGUUUUCCCCCAAAGAAUAUAAAAAGGAAGUGAUCAAUCCCUAUGUGAUACAAAAAUAAUCAUUUUCUUAGGGAGUUUGUAUCACUUGCAUGUCCUGAAGCAAGGACCUAGAGGACAAGUUCAUCACGCCAAAGGAGCCACAAUGGUAGAAGAAAGGUUCAGGGGCAGCUGAGCAGGAGUCUGAGGCUGCAGCAGCUCUGGGAGAUACAGGACCAAGGAUUGAAGAAACACAGCACUCUGGAUCCCGAGCAUCCUCAUCCACUGGGAGCUGGGGCCAAGAGUGGUGCCGAGAGCUCUGGUGUCUGCUGUUUACGGCAAUGCAGAAGAGAACAAAUCCUGAAGUCCUCAGCAGCACCACCAAAAAGCCAGAUUUUAUGUUUGUGGUUAGGUUUGACUGCAGCUCUCGUGGUGAGACUCGCUCUGCACAGCCCACAGUGGACAAACUGCACCAACUGCCAGAGACCCAAGCUCUCAGGGCAUGCUAAUUGUACAGACCAGGUCCUGAGGAGGGAGGAAUGGUUUUAAAAUGCUUGUUUGUGAACAGGAGGAAGAGGCAUCAGGUCUGGGGAAGGCUUCUGAGCAACACUUUCAGAAAGUAGAGAAAAUGACUGAAAAAAAGAAUUCAGAAUUAACUCAGAUUUAGCACAAGCUGGUGCGAUGUUACUGUAAUCAGCAGCAGCAGCUCUGCUUACCCAAGACAUGAAUGUGGGCCAGCUUGUUAUCUCUGGGCUGCCUCAUGGCUCAGAACUGCACAGCAUGGUUCUGAAGUGCAAGGCAGAAUAGAGAAUCCCAAUCUGUUCUGCUCAGCACAGCACAGGUAGCAUAAAUAAAAUAUGCACUGUGUGGGCUCUGU